rnacentral:rRNA from 1 species
CGCUGUCACUCCUACGGGGAGGCAGCAGUAGGGAAUCUUCACAAUGGGCGCAAGCCUGAUGGAGCAACACCGCGUGAGUGAAGAAGGGUUUCGGCUCGUAAAGCUCCGUUGUUAAAGAAGAACACGUAUGAGAGUAACUGUUCAUACGUUGACGGUAUUUAACCAGAAAGUCACGGCUAACUACGUGCCAGCAGCCGCGGUAAUACGUAGGUGGCAAGCGUUAUCCGGAUUUAUUGGGCGUAAAGAGAGUGCAGGCGGUUUUCUAAGUCUGAUGUGAAAGCCUUCGGCUUAACCGGAGAAGUGCAUCGGAAACUGGAUAACUUGAGUGCAGAAGAGGGUAGUGGAACUCCAUGUGUAGCGGUGGAAUGCGUAGAUAUAUGGAAGAACACCAGUGGCGAAGGCGGCUACCUGGUCUGCAACUGACGCUGAGACUCGAAAGCAUGGGUAGCGAACAGAAUUAGAUACCCUGGUAG